AUUGAACGCUGGCGGCAGGCCUAACACAUGCAAGUCGAGCGAGCGGCGGACGGGUGAGGACUGUCUGGGAAACUGCCUGAUGGAGGGGGAUAACUACGGGAAACGGUAGCUAAUACCGCAUACAAUAAGAUUUCGCGAGAUGGGAUUAGCUAGUAGGUGGGGUAAUGGCUCACCUAGGCGACGAUCCCUAGCUGGUCUGAGAGGAUGACCAGCCACACUGGAACUGAGACACGGUCCAGACUCCUACGGGAGGCAGCAGUGGGGAAUAUUGCACAAUGGGCGCAAGCCUGAUACAGCCAUGCCGCGUGUGUGAAGAAGGCCUUCGGGUUGUAAAGCACUUUCAGCGGGGAGGCGUUACCCGCAGAAGAAGCACCGGCUAACUCCGUGCCAGCAGCCGCGGUAAUAC
rnacentral:rRNA from 1 species